UUAAUAUUUUAUAAUAAUGAACUGAUAGGAAAUGUCAAUCACACUGCAAGUGAAAGAGGAGAAGACAGAAGUUAAAUUAGAAUAAAACAUUAAGGAAAGCAGAGUAAUGGUAAAAGAGAAAAAUAAUAUAUCCAUGGAUGAAAUACAAUAACAGGAUCAUUGUUAAGAGAAAGUUAUUUUUUUAAUGAAAUAUAUUGAGUUUAUACCAUUUAAUACCCAUUUUCAUCUAACUAUUAAGUAUUCACAAAUGAUCUUCUGUGCUUCUCAUUACCUCAUUACAUAUCCCUGUUUCCUUCCCUCCAGCCCCUCCCACAUCAUCUGAAGCAACAUCAGUUUCUGAUCACGACAGCACUGCCGGAUCACAGGAUCAGCUGUCAGUCUGCAGACUUUAUCAGAUAUCACAAGACUUGCAGCAGCUUCAUCCCGAGGCAGCGGGGAAAGGUUUUGAAAACUUUGAGUCCUUAACGCAAAGCCCAGUGAGAGGGAAACUGCUCGUAGUGCUGGAUGACAUCACACCAGCAAAUAACACUGCCCCCCUGAGGAGCCCACCAUGGCAUGCUGACAGAAAUAUUCUGAACUUCCUGUGACCCCAGAAAGAAAAGAAACACCCUGGACCUUUGUAAGCUACUGGAGACUGAGAUGCUGGGGGCAUCAGACAGUUGGCUGGCCCAGACAGAGAUGGAUCUCUGUCCUCCGGAGCAACACCUACACGUGAGUCAUUUGAGGAGGAGCUUAUUCAGCUGUAGGUAUCGAAGAUUGCGUUUACACCUACCAGAGAUCUGAACACAAUUUGAGCCAGACUACCUCCAGAAGUGGUCAGGCAGAUGUGAUCACAUUCUGGUGACAGCGCAUUUACAACUUGCAUUAACAUGUGUUUUUCCUCAUCUUGAUAAGGUGUCUGGAUACAUGUCUGUAUACAUUUUAAUACACCGUGUAAACAGAUGGCUGAUGGAUGGACUGUUAGAAACUAAAUCUUUAACUGUUUUAACCAUUUUUUCUAAAAAACAUGUCAAAGUAUGUCAAACUCAGAGGAAACUAAAAUACAACAAAGAAAAUCCCUGACCAGACUGGAGUCAGGUCCAGUUCGAAUACGAACACAUUUUAAAUGCUGUCCGACAGAGAAAUAUUAUAUUCUAAACAUCCACACAGAUGCACCUUGUUAAAAAUGCAAAUCAUGUCUUUGUUUAAAGAGAGGAAGCAGAUGUGGCAGCUGGAUUCACUUGCUUCUGUUGAUAUAAGAUAUUUGAAUGUCAAAUCAAACCUUUCUUCCAAUGUUGAAACUUUUUCACUUUCUGGGACAAAAACUCAAAACAUUUUAAAAUUGCAGAUGAAGAUGAAAGUAAGAACAAAGUUGCUGGUUUUACUUGCUUAAAAAUAAUUUUUACAAGACGUCAUAUCUUGCACUUGAAAUAGCAAAAUGCCUCUGAGGCAAAAUAGUAUGGAAAAAAACAUACAUAAAUUAUAAAUGCAAAUAGAUAAAGAGUAAUACUCUUAUAAAUGUAUUUAAUUUAGUUGUACAAUCAGUGUAACAUACUGUAUACAUCACGUUGGUAUUAAUGAGUAAAUAAAGGUUAAUGCCUUGAAUGUAAGAUGAAGAUCAUUAGUUUAACUGACUAACUCCUGUGUUCAAUAACAGUAACUGUUAAAUGU